rnacentral:rRNA from 1 species
AUGAAAAAGAUAGCGGCGGGAGCAUUCGCAGAUCUGCCCCGCAGUGUAUCUGCCGCCGCCGCAUUCUACCGGGCCGAGGAGGGGAGCUCGAUGGAGAAGGUGUUCUGGUCCCAGUAUGCUGAGGCCGGACACCCGGUGCCCCUGAGCGACCAGCUGAAGCAGCUAGUCGAGCUCCAUAAGGCAGCCGAACAGGCCAUGAAGGGCCUUAUAGGCCGGCUGUGGCCAUGGGAGGCCAUGCCUGGGAGCUACUUUGGGCUAGUGCGGCGGCUGGUGGAUGCCUGUCCAUGGCUUGAAGUCAUCAAGCGCUCCAUAUGCAUCGAAGGCGCACGUAGGGCCCUUGCCCGUGCCAAAGUGCACUGGGGCAAGCUGGAUGCUGAGAAGCUGGUGAAGGAUGGGCCACCGGAGGGGAAGGAGCAUCGCAAGCCCAAGAUGUACUAUGAGGGCGUCCUGAAGGGUGUCCGCCUUGUGGCGAACGAAUGUUCCAAGGAUUUAAUUUUUGAGUAA